rnacentral:rRNA from 1 species
CGUGUAGGCGGGCUGGCGUGUCGGAUGUGAAAUCCCUGAGCUCAACUCAGGAACUGCAUUCGAAACUACCAGUCUAGAGUGGUGGAGAGGGAAGUGGAAUUCCUGGUGUAGAGGUGAAAUUCGUAGAUAUCAGGAGGAACACCAGUGGCGAAGGCGGCUUCCUGGACACCAACUGACGCUGAGACGCGAAGCGUGGGAGCAAACA